rnacentral:snRNA from 1 species
AUACUUACCUGGUGCCGGGGUAACCGUGGUGAACAUGGCGGCGCCCCCCGAGAGAGGCGCGGGCAUUGCACUGCGUUCGUGCUGACCCCUGCUACUACCCCAAACUAGGGCAGAUGGGGCAUGUAAUUUUUGAAAUUUGGAAUUUUGGAAUUUUCAGUCUCUAA